rnacentral:rRNA from 1 species
CCUACGGGAGGCAGCAGUCGAGAAUCAUUCACAAUGGGGGAAACCCUGAUGGUGCGACGCCGCGUGGGGGAAUGAAGGUCUUCGGAUUGUACACCCCUGUCAUGUGGGAGCAAAUUAAAAAGAUAGUACCACAAGAGGAAGAGACGGCUAACUCUGUGCCAGCAGCCGCGGUAAUACAGAGGUCUCAAGCGUUGUUCGGAAUCACUGGGCGUAAAGCGUGCGUAGGCUGUUUCGUAAGUCGUGUGUGAAAGGCGCGGGCUAAACCCGCGGACGGCCCAUGAUACUGCGAGACUAGAGUAAUGGAGGGGGAACCGGAAUUCUCGGUGUAGCAGUGAAAUGCGUAGAUAUCGAGAGGAACACUCGUGGCGAAGGCGGGUUCCUGGACAUUAACUGACGCUGAGGCACGAAGGCCAGGGGAGCGAAAGGGAUUAGAUACCCGAGUGUC